rnacentral:lncRNA from 1 species
CGUGGCUUUGGGGACAGUGACUUGCCUGGGAGCUCAGCUGGAAGGAAGCUGUUCAGGAAGGCGGCUCUUGCGACAUUCAGUGAAUUCUGUUGAUUUCCCUUUUUUUCCUGUGAUACUUUGGUCUUUUUCUUCCAGGUUUCAGCUCCUUCCUCAUUUGUUAUGUGCCUGCUUUUUUUCCUCUUCCCUCAGGACAACUGGGAAAGCUCCAUGUGUCCCAGG